CACGUAGGGCGCAAGCGUUGUCCGGAAUUAUUGGGCGUAAAGAGCUCGUAGGCGGUCUGUUGCGUCUGCUGUGAAAACUCGGGGCUUAACCCCGAGCCUGCAGUGGAUACGGGCAGACUAGAGGUAGGUAGGGGAGAAUGGAGUUCCCGGUGUAGCGGUGAAAUGCGCAGAUAUCGGGAGGAACACCGGUGGCGAAGGCGGUUCUCUGGGCCUUACCUGACGCUGAGGAGCGAAAGCGUGGGGAGCGAACAGG
rnacentral:rRNA from 1 species